rnacentral:rRNA from 1 species
UGGGGAAUAUUGGACAAUGGGGGGAACCCUGAUCCAGCCAUGCCGCGUGUGUGAAGAAGGCCUUAUGGUUGUAAAGCACUUUAAGCGAGGAGGAGGCUACUAGUAUUAAUACUACUGGAUAGUGGACGUUAUCGCAGAAUAAGCACCGGCUAACUCUGUGCCAGCAGCCGCGGUAAUACAGAGGGUNCGAGCGUUAAUCGGAUUUACUGGGCGUAAAGCGUGCGUAGGCGGCCAUUUAAGUCAAAUGUGAAACCCCGAGCUUAACUUGGGAAUUGCAUUCGAUACUGGAUGGCNAGAGUAUGGGAGAGGAUGGUAGAAUUCCAGGUGUAGCGGUGAAAUGCGUAGAGAUCUGGAGGAAUACCGAUGGCGAAGGCAGCCAUCUGGCCUAAUACUGACGCUGAGGUACGAAAAGCAUGGGGAGCAAAACAGGAUUAGAUACCCUGGUANUCCAUGCCGUAAACGAUGUCUACU